AGCUCUGUAGUCUAGUGGAAUGAUAUAAGACUCUGGAUCUUAUGGCCCAGGUUCGACCCCUGGCAGAGCUA
rnacentral:tRNA from 1 species